UUUAUUUAUUACAUUUUAAUAUUUUCAACGAUUUACGAAAUCGAAAAUGAUUUUAGAAUUUUAAGUUGAAAAGAAUUUGAAUUACGAAAAUUGAUUGAAUUUAGAAAACGAUCCUAUUCAGUUUUGGACUCGAAUCAUUAAAGCUAAAUCCUAAGUCUAGCCCACUUGAAAAGCCCAACAUUAAAACCCAAACUCAAACCCUCCCCUUCUUUCUUCUAAUUCACGUGAAAGCUAGGAAGAGAAAAACAAAACCCUCCUUCACUAUUCACGUAAGUUUUCAAACCCUCAAGAACUCAUCCUCUCUCUCUCCUCGUCGCUGCUCUCCUCCUUCACGCCGUUGCUCCAGCCGCCGGUCUCCUCGCCGUCGCCACCAAGGCCGCCGGACCGCGUCGCUGUCCUCGCCGCACCACCCGCGACAGCAACCACCGCUGCCGCCACGUCAACAACCCAGCCGGCCGCCGCUGACCGCGUCGUGCACCGCCCAGCUUUUCCUCUCCUCUUUCUUGGCGGAGAAUUCUCUUUAGGCGACUUUUGAAAGUGUUAAAGUG